GUCAACAUGCUUCUUACUCAUUUAUAGGGCAAUAAUAUGGCUGCAGCCUGCAGUCUUGCGUGCAAAGUGUUUGAUUCUUGUAAAGUGUCAAUCAAUCCAAGACAUUUUCUAGUUCCCUUUAGGGGCUCAGUGCUGGAUUUGUCUCCUCCUUCCCAUUGCCCCCACCCCUCAGCCUUGCUGCCCCCUCCCAUGGCUCCAUGAGGACCCCCAGAUGGGCCUUCUCACCCUUGGGGAGAGGGCUUUGCAAAGGCGGGGAGGGCCCGGACCUUCACUUUUCCUGGAUCCUUGUCCGGGAGAGCCAUCAUGUCUUCCUGGAUGCCUCGCUGCAGCCCACCAGGCCUUCCCAGGGUUCCAUGGGCUCAGAUGACACAUCCCCAACCCCCCAACCCCAGGCCUUGGCAGCUUCAUGGCCAACAAGUCAUAGAGGGCUGCUGUGCUGUUGCUCCUGAGACAGAGAGGAUGCAGGUGAGGGUCUCACCUCGUUGGAGAAGCCCCUUCAUUCAGAGGAGGAAGCUGAGGCCUUCUUGGGUCACCCUGACUUCCCGUGGGAAAGCAUGACCAGAAUGGCCAGGGCUGGACCGGCAGCAGGGCCAGAGACCAGCUGGAGCUUGUUCUGAGCAGGUGACAUGAAACUGGGGAGAGAGGAGGGGGCAGGAACUGGGCACAGCAUCUGGUACAGAGGCCAGAGCAUGCUCUUCCAGGCCCCUCCUCCACGACCCCCACCUGCGACCCGACAUCCUCCUCUGAAAAAUGGAGACAGCAACCCCGACCUGCACUUCCUACCUCAAAGCAUUAUGUAUUGAGUGAGAACCUUUGGGGGGCUGUUCCCUAAGAACAUCCUUCCCCACACCUACCUCUCCUCCCAGAACCCUCUCUUUCUACCCGGCAAUCUAGCCCUCCCCAGGGGUGGAGAGCCGGGGUUCCCUCCUUUCUGGUGCUGCAGGAGUUGGCCAGGGGCCGAGGAGGCCCCCUAGAGUGGGGGCGGCUGCCUGUGGUCCUUGAGCAUGAAGAUGGUAUUUCCAGCCCCGAUUUCGUCCCCUCUCCCGCACAGCUGUGGAUGUCACCCUACCUAACUAGUUACCCAAGAGGAAAACACGCCUUGCCUCAAGGAGCAUCUCAGAGGUGGUGCGAUUUGCUCAUCUAGAUCCAGAGCCAGAGACGGGGAGGUAGACAGCCUGCCCCCGGUCCUGAGCCUGUGACCCAGGCAGUGAAACAGUGAUCUGAAGCCCUUCAGAGCUGGGUUUGCCCCUGGUUCUGCUGCUUUAAGGAGCUUCGUGACCUUGGGCAAGUUACUCAGCCUCUCUGAGUCCCAGCCCCUCUGCCACCUCCCUGCCCAGGCUGUUGUGAAGAUGAAGCGAGACAGUGGGUGUGAAGUGCUUGGCUUCCGUCUGCCCCACAGUAACUGCUCAAUAAACGGA